UUAUUUCCCCUUCAGCUCUUCUCAUCGCCUCCACUGAAGAGAUUAGGGUUUCAUCUGUUAAUCGAUCUGUUAAUCGACAUUCAAGCUUAGUUUCGAUCUUUCAAGAGAUUAGAAUCUUACAAAAGUUUCGAUCUAUGUAAGUUUUUUCGAUUUAGGUUAAAUCGUCUGUUUUUUCACCACAUUUGGGGAAAAGCUCAAGACUGCUGUUGUUAAUUGAGUUAGGGUUUUAUCUUGAUGGAUCUGGUGAUGUUGGAGAAGAAGAUGAUGAACAUUUAAUCUGUGGUUACAAGAAUCAGUAUAGGAAGAAAUGGAAAUGUUUCCAUCUGCUAACCGUGGCUUCACGAAGAAGAAGAAAGGGGUUACUGCUGUAAUUGGAGUUGAUUUCAUGGGUUUGGUUCGGAUUUAAUAGCUGAUUUGAGUUGGAACAAGUCAGUGGCUGAUUGGGUUUUGAGAUUGAAGUUGCAGUGCCGAACAUGGAUGAAGAAAUGAGCUGCUAAUGGUUUUGUUGUCGCUGUUGCUGUUUAGGGAAACUGUGUGUUAGGGCAUUGGGUUCUGAAAAUUUUGAGAUACGGAGAUCUCAAGCAAAGAAGGAUCAGUUGGAUUAUGAAUUGAAUUUGCAAGGAUUAAAGAGGAGAUGGAAAAGGUGUUGCUGCUAGUGACAGUAAGAACUGGUGGUGAUGUUCUAGAUAACUGAAAUUGGUGUUGCAGGCAGUGUGGUGGAUGAGUUAUCUGAGCUGAGUUGCAAUGGGAAUUGGUGAGCUGUAGUGCAGGUAAGGUGCGUGGAUCUUUAGCUCGUGCUGGAGAAGUCAUAGGACAAACUUCAAAGGUAACUAAACAAUGCAAGAAUUAAGAAUCCUAGGGGUAGAGCUCACAGGGGAAUGUUUCGUUGCUGCUGCCUGAUGGCCAAAUGCCUAGUGACAAGACUGUUGGCGGAGGAGGCCGAGCUUCGGAGACAAGACUGUUGUUGGUUUAGACUUCCAUCUCUAAGAUUUUUAUUUUGUGAAAAUAGGCUCUCAGGUAUAGAAAGUUUUGGGGAGAGAAGGCCGAGCUUCGGAGAUUCAAAGAUGACAUAUUGCAGAAAGCACAGUAUGGGAAUGUCAGCACUGGAAAAGGCACCUCAUUGUCAAAUUGUUGUUGUGUGAUCUGUUCCUUUGUAGGUUUGUGAUCAUUUGGUGUUUGUGGUUGCAGAUUUCCAUUAUAUUUUUUACACCGUUCUUUUCGAAGGUUAUACUGCAACUUCAGCUGGUACCGCAAGAAUCUGUCACA